AGGACGAACGCUGGCGGCGCGCUUAACACAUGCAAGUCGAGCGAGAACCUGGCCUUCGGGCCUGGGGAAAGCGGCGAACGGGUGAGUAACACGUGGGUAACCCACCCUUGGUACUGGGAUAGCCCGGGGAAACCCGGAUUAAUACCGGAUGGCCCAACAGCUCUUAGGGGCGGUUGGAAAAGGUAGCUUCGGCCUCCGACCAAGGACGGGCCCGCGGCGGAUUAGCUUGUUGGUGGGGUAACGGCCUACCAAGGCGACGAUCCGUAGCUGGUCUGAGAGGACGAUCAGCCACACUGGGACUGAGACACGGCCCAGACUCCUACGGGAGGCAGCAGUGGGGAAUCUUGCGCAAUGGGCGAAAGCCUGACGCAGCGACGCCGCGUGGGGAAGAAGGCUUUCGGGUUGUAAACCCCUUUCAGGAAGGACGAAGCUACUCGGGUUAAUAGCCCAGAGGGUGACGGUACUUCCAGAAGAAGCCCCGGCUAACUACGUGCCAGCAGCCGC
rnacentral:rRNA from 1 species